UGAGGAAUAUUGGUCAAUGGGCGCAAGCCUGAACCAGCCAUCCCGCGUGCAGGAAGACGGCGCUAUGCGUUGUAAACUGCUUUUCCAGGGGGAGAAACUUGCGCACGUGUUGCGCAAUUGACGGUACCCUGGGAAUAAGCAUCGGCUAACUCCGUGCCAGCAGCCGCGGUAAUACGGAGGAUGCAAGCGUUAUCCGGAUUCAUUGGGUUUAAAGGGUGCGUAGGCGGACUAUUAAGUCAGUGGUGAAAUCCUGCAGCUUAACUGCAGAACUGCCAUUGAUACUGAUAGCCUUGAGUUUGGUUAAGGUAGGUCGGAAUGUGUAAUGUAGCGGUGAAAUGCUUAGAUAUUACACAGAACACCAAUUGCGUAGGCAGCUUAACUGAGCCGACACGUGACGCUG
rnacentral:rRNA from 1 species